rnacentral:rRNA from 1 species
UCCAGACUCCUACGGGAGGCAGCAGUGGGGAAUAUUGCACAAUGGGGGGAACCCUGAUGCAGCGACGCCGCGUGGGUGAAGGAGCGUUUCGGCGCGUAAAGCCCUAUCGGCAGGGAAGAAGGAGGACGGUACCUGACUAAGAAGCCCCGGCUAACUACGUGCCAGCAGCCGCGGUAAUACGUAGGGGGCAAGCGUUAUCCGGAUUUACUGGGUGUAAAGGGGGCGCAGACGGCAGCGCAAGCCAGGAGUGAAAGCCCGGGGCCCAACCCCGGGACUGCUCUUGGAACUGCGCGGCUGGAGUGCAGGAGGGGCAGGCGGAAGUCCUGGUGUAGCGGUGAAAUGCGUAGAUAUCAGGAGGAACACCGGUGGCGAAGGCGGCCUGCUGGACUGCGACUGACGUUGAGGCCCGAAAGCGUGGGGAGCAAACAGGAUUAGAUACCCGGGUAGCA